rnacentral:rRNA from 1 species
GAUGAACGCUAGCGAUAGGCUUAACACAUGCAAGUCGAGGGGCAGCAUAGGAGUAGCAAUACUUUGGUGGCGACCGGCGCACGGGUGAGUAACACGUAUGCAACCUACCCAUAACUGGGGAAUAACCCGUCGAAAGGCGGACUAAUACCGCAUAACAACAUUGAUCCGCAUGGUGAGAUGUUUAAAGAUUUAUCGGUUAUGGAUGGGCAUGCGUUCCAUUAGGUAGUUGGCGGGGCAACGGCCCACCAAGCCUGCGAUGAUAGGGGUUCUGGGAUGAAGUUCGCCCACGCUGGAUCUGAGACCCGGACCAGACUCCUACGGGGGGCAGCAGUGGGGAAUAUUGGUCAACGGGCGGGAGCCUGAACCAGCCAAAUCGCGUGAAGGAUGAAGGUAUUAUGUAUUGUAAACUUCUUUUACAGGGGAAUAAAGUGCACCACGUGUGGUGUUUUGUAUGUACCCAAGGAAUAAGGAUCGGCUAACUCCGUGCCAGCAGCCGCCGUAAGAC